GCUCGACCACCAAAGCCAAUCAAGUCUGGACCAGCAUCUCCAUUUGGCGGGCAGGUACCUACGAUCCGUAGGUUGGUAGUCCAGCUAAAAUAGCUGUCCAAAAUCUCCCAUUUCCAGUUGUUGCAUUCAUCCACCAUCUCACUAAAAUUGAAGUUUAUACCAAUCUCAUCAAUAUGCAGUUUGUGAUACUUAGGGAUGGUAAAACUCUGAUCCCCACAAAUUUUAGAUCGAUUUGUUUUGAUUGGAGUGGAAUUUUUUUUUCUUUUGAGCAGUUAGUCCUAUUGUACUAUUUGAAAUUAUCAUUUUAUGAUUGUAUUUGUAUAAUUAUAACAAAUGUAAAAUUGUAAUAAUGUAUUGUAGAAAAAAUGUGUUUUAUGUUUAAAUAUUUUUUCUUAAAGGAGUAUAUUUAAAUAUUUAUUUGACUUUAAAACAAUUAAAAAUAUUAGAAAUAACUAACAAAAAUAAAAUUAAAAUGAAGUGGGGCGAGGUGAGAAUAAAUGCAUCCAAAAUUCAUAGAGAUGGUAGUGACUUUUAAGAUCAAAUAUUCCUAAGGGAAGGAGUCGGGUGGUGGAGCAAAACAUACCAACUGUGAAGCAGUAGUGAAUUUGGCAGCAUCCAUCCUCGUCUCGCUCCAUUGUCAUCCGUAAUAGUACUACAAAAGACCCA
rnacentral:lncRNA from 1 species